rnacentral:rRNA from 1 species
UACGUAGGGUCCAAGCGUUAAUCGGAAUUACUGGGCGUAAAGCGUGCGCAGGCGGUUGUGCAAGACCGAUGUGAAAUCCCCGGGCUUAACCUGGGAAUUGCAUUGGUGACUGCACGGCUAGAGUGUGUCAGAGGGGGGUAGAAUUCCACGUGUAGCAGUGAAAUGCGUAGAGAUGUGGAGGAAUACCGAUGGCGAAGGCAGCCCCCUGGGAUAACACUGACGCUCAUGCACGAAAGCGUGGGGAGCAAACAGGAUUAGAUACCCCGGUAGUCC